rnacentral:rRNA from 1 species
UUGGUUAAGUUAGAAAGGGCGCACGGUGGAUGCCUUGGCACUAGGAGCCGAAGAAGGACGGGACUAACACCGAUAUGCUUUGGGGAGCUGUACGUAAGCGUUGAUCCAGAGAUUUCCGAAUGGGGGAACCCACUAUCUUUAGUCGGAUAGUAUCCUUACGUGAAUACAUAGCGUGAGGAAGGCAGACCCAGGGAACUGAAACAUCUAAGUACCUGGAGGAAGAGAAAGAAAAAUCGAUUUCCUGAGUAGCGGCGAGCGAAACGGAAAGAGCCCAAACCAAGAAGCUUGCUUCUUGGGGUUGUAGGACACUCUAUACGGAGUUACAAAAGAAAGUUAUAAAUGAAGCGGUCUGGAAAGGCCCGCCAAAGACGGUAACAGCCCGGUAGUUGAAAUGGCUUUCCCUCCAGAGUGGAUCCUGAGUACGGCGGAACACGUGAAAUUCCGUCGGAAUCCGGGAGGACCAUCUCCCAAGGCUAAAUACUCCCUAGUGACCGAUAGUGAACCAGUACCGUGAGGGAAAGGUGAAAAGCACCCCGGAAGGGGAGUGAAACAGUUCCUGAAACCGUGUGCCUACAAGUAGUUAGAGCCCGUUAAUGGGUGAUAGCGUGCCUUUUGUAGAAUGAACCGGCGAGUUACGAUUUGUUGCAAGGUUAAGCGGAAAAAGCGGAGCCGUAGCGAAAGCGAGUCUGAAUAGGGCGCAUAAGUAACAGGUCGUAGACCCGAAACCAGGUGAUCUACCCAUGUCCAGGAUGAAGGUAAGGUAAUACUUACUGGAGGUCCGAACCCACGCACGUUGAAAAGUGCGGGGAUGAGGUGUGGGUAGCGGAGAAAUUCCAAUCGAACUUGGAGAUAGCUGGUUCUCUCCGAAAUAGCUUUAGGGCUAGCCUCGAGGUAAAGAGUCAUGGAGGUAGAGCACUGUUUGGACUAGGGGCCCUUCUCGGGUUACCGAAUUCAGAUAAACUCCGAAUGCCAUGUACUUAUACUCGGGAGUCAGACUGCGAGUGAUAAGAUCCGUAGUCGAAAGGGAAACAGCCCAGACCACCAGUUAAGGUCCCCAAAUAUAUGUUAAGUGGAAAAGGAUGUGGGGUUGCUUAGACAACCAGGAUGUUGGCUUAGAAGCAGCCACCAUUGAAAGAGUGCGUAAUAGCUCACUGGUCGAGUGACCCCGCGCCGAAAAUGUACCGGGGCUAAACAUAUUACCGAAACUGUGGAUGAACCUCUUCGGAGGUUCGUGGUAGGAGAGCGUUCUAAGGGCGGUGAAGUCAGACCGGAAGGACUGGUGGAGCGCUUAGAAGUGAGAAUGCCGGUAUGAGUAGCGAAAGAAGGGUGAGAAUCCCUUCCACCGAAUAUCUAAGGUUUCCUGAGGAAGGCUCGUCCGCUCAGGGUUAGUCGGGACCUAAGCCGAGGCCGAUAGGCGUAGGCGAUGGACAACAGGUAGAGAUUCCUGUACCAGUGCUAAUUGUUUAACCGAUGGGGUGACACAGAAGGAUAGGGAAUCGCACGAAUGGAAAUGUGCGUCCAAGCAGUGAGUGUGAGAAGUAGGCAAAUC